rnacentral:rRNA from 1 species
UACGUAGGGUGCAAGCGUUGUCCGGAAUUAUUGGGCGUAAAGAGCUCGUAGGCGGUUUGUCGCGUCUGCUGUGAAAACUCAGGGCUUAACCUCGAGCCUGCAGUGGGUACGGGCAGACUAGAGUGUGGUAGGGGAGAUCGGAAUUCCUGGUGUAGCGGUGGAAUGCGCAGAUAUCAGGAGGAACACCGGUGGCGAAGGCGGAUCUCUGGGCCAUAACUGACGCUGGAGGAGCGAAAAGCAUGGGGAGCGAACAGG